rnacentral:lncRNA from 1 species
UCCCUCUUCCGCCUCCUUUCAUCUAUCAAAUUUCUGCAACCUCUGCUCUUCUCCAAUGGAGCUGAAUUUUAGACACCCUAUAGUUCUUGAGCAUAUGAACAACUUUCAAGAAGGAACCAUUUCUUUUUGAGCGACGGAAAUUACAGUGUUGAAGCUCCAAACAUGACAGUCGGAUUCUUGCAGAUUUCGAAGCUGCUGUGAUGUUUCGAAGAUCUGGAAGUAUUUAACCAUUAGUUCAUUCUGAAUUUUUGAUAUGUUAUGAAAGAGACGAUGAGGAACAACUUAAAUGAAGAAAGCAUGCCGAUCUGAACAAUAGAAAAUGGAGUUUCGAAGCUCACAACAAAUCUGACGGGUUGACAGAAAAAUAAUAACCAGUCAUUCAUCAUACCUGGAUUUCUGGAGUUAUACUGCUCCGAGGGAUCUCAAAUUUGGAUAUGUUGUAGUUCACAAGCUGAGGAACAACUUCAAUGAAGAAAGUAUGCUGAUCUGAGCAAGAGAAAAUGGAGUUUCGAAGCUCACAACAAAUCUGACGGGUUGACAGAAAAAUAAUAACCAGUCAUUCAUCAUACCUGGAUUUCUGGAGUUAUACUGCUCCGAGGGAUCUCAAAUUUGGAUAUGUUGUAGUUUCACAAGCUGAGGAACAACUUCAAUGAAGAAAGCAUGCUGAUCUGAGCAAGAGAAAAUAGAGUUUCAAAGCUCACAACAACUCUGACGGGUUGACAGACAAAUGAUAAACAGUCACUCAUCAUACCUGGAUUUCUGGAGUUAUACUGCUCCGAGGGACCUCAAAUUUGGAUAUGUUGUAGUUCACAAGUUAAGGAACAACUUCGAUGAAGAAAGUAUGUUGAU